GCAGUGCUCAUGCCAGCGGCAAGGCAGGGCUCAGGGGCACUCACAGUCCUGGGGCUGCUUGUGAGCACUGGGCCUUCAACAGGAGACCUGGCUGCUCCCGCUCCAUGUCCACCAGCAUCUGCCCAUGUUAGGAGGCCUGUGCACCUGUGCCCACUUGAGCUCGCCCACUCCAACACCCCAUCCAGUGUCGAUGGAGCCUGAAAACAUGCCCUGCUGUGCUUGUGCUUAUGAAAUUCUGCAUUCAGCCCCUCUUUGUAUAAUUGGGAAACUGAGGCUCAGAAAGAGGCAGGCCCAGGGCACAGUAUGUGGUCAGAGUCAAGAAGAAAAGUGAGGACACCGGCUUCAUAGGCCCGGGCCCAACUCCUCCAGUCAUGUUUACUUUGGAAAUGAAAGCCCCUAAGAUCCUAGUUUGGACUAGGAUCCUACCCAACCCCUCCCAGUUUGGACCAUUUUCCUUCCUGCAUCCCCACAAGCACGCAGGCAUGCACAAACAGAAGCAGACUUCCAGCUGGGGACUAUGGGAGGGUGGUUAAGAAGAGCAGACACCCUGAAAAUGACAAGGGAAAGAGGAGAGAGGGGUUGGAGCCAGCUCUGCAAUAGAGUAGGGGCAUCCAUUCUCCCGGCAACAUGUCCAGAGGUCCAUAGCAUGAAGGCGAUCCUUAAAUUUCCCACAGUCCUGCCUGGGCAGGGGCCAACUCCAUAGUAGUCUCCAGAGGACAGGGACUGGGGUCCUGCAGUCUACUGUGCUAGGCUCCUGGAAGUGGACCGAGCAUACUUCAUCCCCUAGUAUAGACAGGGACUACAGGAGAGAAGGUCUCAGUUUCCUUCUCUACAAAUUGGGCUCUUGCAAUGGCAGUACCCAAGGGUUCUGCAUGCUUGGAAAGUCUGUAGACCUUGAUUCUCUACCAAUGACCCAUUGUCCUCCAAGGACAUGGAUAAAUGCUUCCCACUCCCUGAAGGUCCUUCGUGGCAGAGAGGAGCUUGGGGAAUGAGGACUUGGGGUAGGGAAGAACAAGACAGAGCCAGGGACUGAAAGUUAAGGGUCCAGGAACAAGACCACUCAUACUUGGAUCCUUGGGGUCCUCAUUUGGAAGUAGGGGGAAUCAUUGCCCUGGCUGAGGUGAGGAUGCCUUCUGAGAAAACUAGACACCCCAGAGGGGAGUGGCAAAGAGGGCGGCAGGAGUGUCUUCUGAGGUCCCUUCCACAGCCCUGAAAUCCUUCAGGGCCUGCUGUUUUACUCCUGGGACUCCGGAGAGCCUUUGCCUUGAGGUCACCCAAAGAAAGAUUCCUGCCUGGGGCUGCAGUGCUAGUGCUGGCCACCAGGGGACAGGCAGCCUCCUGGUUCAUGGUGCCCACUGAGCUUUGCUGGAGCAAUUGGGGCAGGAAGAGCCAUGCAGAAUGUCAUUUCGGCCACGCCUCUGCUUCAGAAACAAUAUGCACCUCCUACGAUUAGUGAUCAUUUCUACAGAAUGAGCUGGGCAGAGGCAGGAAGAAGAGCUCCAAGAUCUCCCCAUUUAUUUAUUUAUUCGGAGAUUUAUUUAUUUAUUUAUUCCGAGAUUAUGGCUCACCCUGUGCCAGGUGCCAAAUGGUCUCUCUCUUCCAGGAGCUUUCAGUCUGGAGGAGAGAAGGACAAAAGCACAGAAGCAAGACAUGUGAAAGAAAAGAAGCUCCACCCAGGACAUUGUCAAGGAGCUGGUUGAUGGGUUCAACUCCUCCAUCUCACUAGACAAGGGGCAGAUGCAUCUGGCGAUGAACAAUGGCCAACACUGGUCUGGGGAAUUCCAAAAGUCUGUCGAUUUGGAGGAACUGACCGCGAAGGAGCCGUCUGCGGUGUCCAGC